rnacentral:rRNA from 1 species
CAGUCGCCACGGGAAUACAGAGGGUGCGAGCGUUAAUCGGAUUUACUGGGCGUAAAGCGUGCGUAGGCGGCUUCUUAAGUCGGAUGUGAAAUCCCUGAGCUUAACUUAGGAAUUGCAUUCUAUACUGGGAAGCUAGAGUAUGGGAGAGGAUGGUAGAAUUCCAGGUGUAGCGGUGAAAUGCGUAGAGAUCUGGAGGAAUACCGAUGGCGAAGGCAGCCAUCUGGCCUAAUACUGACGCUGAGGUACGAAAGCAUGGGGAGCAAACAGGAUUAGAUACCCCUGUAGUCCCUGUCUCUUAUAC